rnacentral:rRNA from 1 species
AUUGAACGCUGGCGGCAGGCUUAACACAUGCAAGUCGAACGAGGGGCGGAAGGGGGAGGAAUGGAUGGGAAUCUAGCUUAUGGAGGGGGGACACUACGGGAAACUGUAGGUAAAACCGAGUACAAUAGGAUGAGACUGAUGGGGAUUAGGUAUGUGGUGAGGGAAAGUCUCACCAAGCCGACGGACCCGAGCUGGUCUGAGAGGAUGACCAGCCCCACUGGUACUGUGACACGGCCCAGACUCCAACGGGAGGCAGCAGUGGGGAAUAUUGCGCAAUGGGGGCAACCUGACGCAGCCAUGCCGCGUGAAUGAAGAAGGCCUUCGGGUUGUAAAGUUCUUUCGGUAGCGAGGCGUUAACUACAGAAGAAGCACCGGCUAACUCCGUGCCAGCAGCCGCGGUAAUUC